rnacentral:rRNA from 1 species
GGAAAGAUUUUUCGGUUGGGGAUGGGCUCGCGGCCUAUCAGCUUGUUGGUGAGGUAAUGGCUCACCAAGGCGUCGACGGGUAGCCGGCCUGAGAGGGUGACCGGCCACACUGGGACUGAGACACGGCCCAGACUCCUACGGGAGGCAGCAGUGGGGAAUAUUGCACAAUGGGCGGAAGCCUGAUGCAGCAACGCCGCGUGAGGGAUGACGGCCUUCGGGUUGUAAACCUCUUUUAGUAGGGAAGAAGCGAAAGUGACGGUACCUGCAGAAAAAGCACCGGCUAACUACGUGCCAGCANCCGCGGUAAUACGUAGGGUGCAAGCGUUAUCCGGAAUUAUUGGGCGUAAAGAGCUNGUAGGCGGUUUGUCGCGUCUGNUGUGAAAUUCCGAGGCUCAACCUCGGGCUNGCAGNGGGUACGGGCAGACUAGAGUGCGGUAGGGGAGAUUGGAAUUCCUGGUGUAGCGGUGGAAUGCGCAGAUAUCAGGAGGAACACCGAUGGCGAAGGCAGAUCUCUGGGCCGUAACUGACGCUGAGGAGCGAAAGGGUGGGGAGCAAACAGGCUUAGAUNCCCUGGUAGUCCNCCCCGUAAACGUUGGGAACU